AAAGCUUCAAUAAGGUCUCCAUCAAUGUUUAGUGCUUCAUUGCAACUAGUAACAGCAUCCUUUCCACGGCCAAGCUUGACCAGUACCUUGCAUAAACCAAGAUGAAGAUGUACAUUGUGUGCAAGAUGAUUGGGGUCUAAUGCAAGGGCUGCAUUGUAUUCCUCCACUGCUAACCGCAGCUUACCCUUGCUGACAUUAUCUUCUGCACUCUUGGUUUUCUUGAGCAGAUUCUUCAAUCCAAA
rnacentral:misc_RNA from 1 species